GAGAGAGAGAGGGGGGGGGGGCGCUAAGAGCAGCGCGAAUGAGAACAUAGAGGAAAGCCUAACUUAUCUGUUCUCCACCUCUUGUGUUGAGGUGGAGAUAUUUCCCGAUGCCUCCCAUUCCUAUCGUUCUUAUGCGCUCCUUCCUCUUCCUUUUUGUU
rnacentral:pre_miRNA from 1 species